rnacentral:rRNA from 1 species
GAUGAACGCUAGCGGGAGGCUUAAUACAUGCAAGUCGAGCGGUAACUGACCGAUAGCAAUAUUGGUUAGCUAGAGCGGCGCACGGGUGAGUAACGCGUACAUAACCUACCCUAUACUGGGGGAUAGCCUUGGGAAACUGAGAUUAAUACCCCAUGGUAUUAUUUGGCCACCUGGUUGAAUAAUUAAAGUUGCGGCGGUAUAGGAUGGGUGUGCGUCUGAUUAGCUAGUUGGUAGGGUAACGGCCUACCAAGGCGAUGAUCCGUAGCGGGUCUGAGAGGACGGCCCGCCACACUGGGACUGAGACACGGCCCAGACUCCUACGGGAGGCAGCAGUGGGGAAUAUUGGACAAUGGGGGGCAACCCUGAUCCAGCCAUUCCGCGUGCAGGAUGAAUGCCCUCUGGGUUGUAAACUGCUUUAGUCUGGGAAGAAAAAGACCUAUUUAUGGGUAACUGACGGUACCAGAAGAAUAAGCACCGGCUAACUCCGUGCCAGCAGCCGCGGUAAGUCUCG